rnacentral:rRNA from 1 species
CGGCGCUAUGGCGGCAGCCUAACCAUGCAAGUCGAAGCGGGUAACACAGGAAGAAGCUUGCUUCUUGGCUGACGAGUGGCGGACUGGUGAGUAAUGUAUGGGAAUCUGCCUGAUGGAGGGGGAUAACUACUGGAAACGGUAGCUAAUACCGCAUAAUGUCUUCGGACCAAAGCGGGGGACCUUCGGGCCUCUUGCCAUCAGAUGUGCCCAUAUGGGAUUAGCUUGUAGGUGGGGUAACGGCUCACCUAGGCGACGAUCCCUAGCUGGUCUGAGAGGAUGAUCAGCCACACUGGGACUGAGACACGGCCCAGACUCCUACGGGAGGCAGCAGUGGGGAAUAUUGCACAAUGGGCGCAAGCCUGAUGCAGCCAUGCCGCGUGUAUGAAGAAGGCCUUCGGGUUGUAAAGUACUUUCAGUCAGGAGGAAGGUGUUGUGCUUAAUAACGCUCAUCAAUUGACGUUACCGACAGAAGAAGCACCGGCUAACUCCGUGCCAGCAGCCGCGGUAAUACGGAGGGUGCAAAGCGUUAAUCGGAAUUACUGGGCGUAAAGCGCACGCAGGCGGUCUGAUUGAGUCAGAUGUGAAAUCCCCGGGCUUAACCCGGGAAUUGCAUCUGAUACUGGGUCGGCUAGAGUCUUGUAGAGGGGGGUAGAAUUCCAUGUGUAGCGGUGAAAUGCGUAGAGAUGUGGAGGAAUACCGGUGGCGAAGGCGGCCCCCUGGACAAAGACUGACGCUCAGGUGCGAAAGCGUGGGGAGCAAACAGGAUCACAUACCCUGGUAGUACACGCCGUAAACGAUGUCGACUUGCAGGUUGUGCCCUUGAAGGCGUGGCCUUCCUGCAACUAACUCGUUAAGUCGAACUGCUUGGGUGAGUGCGUCCGGGAGGUAG